GACGAACGCUGGCGGCGUGCUUAACACAUGCAAGUCGAACGGUGAAAGCGGAGCUUGCUCCGCUGGAUCAGUGGCGAACGGGUGAGUAACACGCGGGCAACCUGCCCCUCACUUCGGGAUAACUCCGGGAAACAGGGGCUAAUACCGGAUAUGACCUCCUUGCGCAUCCUUGGAGGUGGAAAGUUUUUCGGUGAGGGAGGGGCCCGCGGCCUAGCAGCUUGUUGGUGAGGUGGUGGGACAGCAAGGGGACGACGGGUAGCCGGCGUGAGAUGGCGACCGGACACACUGGGACUGAGACACGGCCCAGACUCCUACGGGAGGCAGCAGUGGGGAAUAUUGCGCAAUGAGCGAAAGCCUGACGCAGCAACGCCGCGUGCGGGAUGACGGCCUUCGGGUUGUAAACAGCUUUCAGCAGGGAAGAAGCCGCAAGGUGACGGUACCUGCAGAAGAAGCACCGGCUAACUACGUGCCAGCCGCCGCCGUAA
rnacentral:rRNA from 1 species